CUUUAUUCAUUCACCCUCCCUGAUUGAUAAUGUGUGGCUGUAGGAAGGUAAAUUUAUUUGUUGCUCAAUUGCCCUAAACUAAUAUUGUAUCUUUUGCAGCUCUGAGAUGUCUAAGGAUCAAUUGGUUGUAGAUCUUACAUCACGCACAAAAGUACUACUCUGGAGUGGGAUUUUUCUUGGUUCAGUGUCAAUUGGAGUCCUUGCCUAUGCUGUUUCCAGGCUGGUGUGAGGGACAACUUCGUAUAAUACUGAAGUUUUGAAAUGACGUCACCAUCAAAGAAAAUAAAGGAAACAUUGUAUAUGAAAGGGACGGAGGAGUUGCAGGUGGCGCUGCAGAGUAUUUCUUAAAUGGUGAUUAUUUUUGGGGAUUUAGUAGCACUGGAGACUUCAUGGAUGACAAUGAUUUCCAAAAUACACGUUACUCUGUAUCUCUGGCAUCUUCAAAUCUCUCUGAUUUAUACACGACAGCACGCAUAUCCCCAAUUUCAAUCACAUAUUUCCAUUAUUGCUUAGAAAAUGACUAUACUGUAAGUCUUCACUUUGCGGAGAUACAGUUUACAAAUGACCAAACAUAUACGAGUCUUGGCAGACGCGUAUUUGAUAUCUAUGUUCGGGAAGAAGUAUUGCGAAGGGAUUUCAAUAUUGAAGAUGAGGCAAAGAUGGCUCAAAAGCCUGUAAUACUAGAACAUAAUGUCAGUGUAACAAAUAAUAUCUUAGAGAUCCGAUUCUAUUUUGCUGGUAAAGGGACAACAAGGAUCCCUGACAGAGGAGUCUAUGGUCCCCUUAUCUCUGCUAUUUCUGUGAAAUCUGAUUCCAAAGAUUGCUCAAAUGGUGAAAGCAAGGGAACUGCUCACAUUGUUGCUGGAGCUGUAGUAGGAGCAUUUGGCCUAGCGUUUGUUAUAUUAGGAAUCCUUUGGUGGAAAGGAUACAUGCCAGGCAAAAGGGGGAGAAAGAAAGAUAGAGAAGGACUUGAUGGGCAGACAGGGACUUUUACCUUAAGACAAUUAAAAGCUGCCACUAAUGACUUCGAUUCUGCUAACAAAAUCGGAGAAGGUGGUUUUGGUCCUGUGUACAAGGGUCAAUUGCCUGAUGCUACAGUGAUAGCCGUUAAGCAGCUUUCAUCCAAGUCAAGGCAGGGAAAUCGUGAAUUCUUAAAUGAGAUGGGCAUGAUUUCUUGUUUCCAGCACCCAAAUCUUGUGAAGCUUCAUGGAUGUUGUAUUGAUGGAGGUCAGCUAUUGCUGGUCUAUGAGUACAUGGAAAACAAUAACCUUGCACGAGCAUUGUUUGGUCGAGAAAAUCAUCUUAAACUGGACUGGCCAACAAGUCGUAAUAUUUGUAUUGGGAUAGCAAGAGGACUAGCUUUUCUCCAUGAAGAAUCUGUACUUAAAAUUGUUCACCGAGACAUCAAAGCUACUAAUGUGCUGCUUGAUCGGGACUUGAACCCUAAAAUAUCCGACUUUGGAUUAGCAAAGCUUGAUGAAGAGGAGAAGACGCACAUGAGCACCCGAGUUGCUGGGACCAUAGGAUACAUGGCACCAGAAUAUGCAUUAUGGGGUCACCUGACGUACAAAGCAGAUGUUUACAGUUUUGGAGUAGUGGCCUUGGAAAUUAUUAGUGGGAAGAACAACAAUAAUUAUAUCCCAAGUGAUGACUGGGUUUGCCUUUUAGAUUGGGCUUGUCAUUUGCAACAAACUGGAAACUUGUUGGAGCUAGUUGAUGAGUAGGGUCUGAGGUUGACCAAAAAGAAGCAGAGAUCAUGGUUAAAGUGGCUCUGAUUUGUACAAAUGCCUCUGCUUCGCUUAGGCCUAGCAUGUCCGAGGUGGUGAGCAUGCUUGAAGGACAAAUUCCUGUUCCUGACGUGAUCCCAGAAUCAAGUACCUAUAGAGAAGAUUUGAGGUUUAAGGCCAUGAGAGACCUCCACCGGCAGAGGCAAGAUCAUAGUUUAAGUAUCAGUCGAUCACAGCAUUCAACUACGGUCCACACAUUCGAGUCUACCUCUACCUCCGGCCUUGAAUUCUCUGAAAUCAAUCCAAACUCAACAUCAUCUUGACAGUUGUGGACAUUCUGGUUCUAUAGUAGCAAGUAUGUUGUAGUUUGUAGUCUUCGAAACACAUAUGCAGAUUAGCUGUGUCCA